AUUGAACGCUGGCGGCAGGCCUAACACAUGCAAGUCGAGCGGAGCGGCGGACGGGUGAGUAAUGCCUAGGAAUCUGCCUGGUAGUGGGGGAUAACGUCCGGAAACGGGCGCUAAUACCGCAUACUAUCAGAUGAGCCUAGGUCGGAUUAGCUAGUGGGUGGGGUAAAGGCCUACCAAGGCGACGAUCCGUAACUGGUCUGAGAGGAUGAUCAGUCACACUGGAACUGAGACACGGUUCAGAAUCCUACGGUGGGCAGGAGUGGGGAAUAUUGGAAACUGGGCGAAAGCCUGAUCCAGCCAUGCGGCGUUGGUGAAGAAGGUGUCUGGAUUGUAGAGCACUUUAAGUUGGACGGCUUUACCAACAGAAUAAGCACAGGAUAGCUUCGUGCCAGCAGCCGCGGUAAUAC
rnacentral:rRNA from 1 species